rnacentral:misc_RNA from 1 species
UAAUAAUAAAAAAAAAAAAACCUUAUGAGUGUGAAUUUGAAAUGUCUUAUACAAAAUUGACAGUUGAAAUUCACUUCAAAUGGGUUUUUAAAACAUUCGUGAAUCUAAGUAGUGACCCAAUUUUCAUACCAGUAAUUUAAAUUAAAAUUAAAUUCAAAUCUUUUAUUUUAAAUCAUAUAGUCCAAACGCAGCGCAGAAGAAUUUCUGGCAAUUUAGAUUCUAG